UCCUUGUACGUAUUAUAAAUCUGGAAAAUCCUGACCUAUCGGUUUACGAAAAAAAAAAUAUUUAAGAGAAAUCUCAUCAUAAAUUUUUUGUGGCUUGAAAGUGUAUCAAAUGGUUUUCGUUACACCACGUUUAUCAAAACAAUUUUCGCAUGUGGCUCGUCAACACUUUACAAAAGGCUUUCAGCGCGCCGCACCUUUCCUUCCCCUUAUGUAUUAUAAGGCUCCUCAAGAAGCGAUGCGAUCUAUGAAUCAUCGUUUAUUCUAUAUUAAUUGGAUUGUAAUGGGAGCAAUAGCACAAUUUUUGUUCGUUACGCUUGAUAGAUGAUUGUUUUAGUUGAAACACUAAAGAAGAAAAAUUAGAACCCUUUACAACUGUA